rnacentral:other from 1 species
UACAUCCUGCGAUGUUCGUUACGGCUAACGCUGUUUUGAACCAAUGGCUGUUUCACGGGAGAUCAAUAUCGGAACGCAGCUGACAUGCCCUCGAAAAGGGAUCUCAAAAACGUACCUGCGGUCACCCACCUGCGAGAGCGGGUUCAGAAACAAUGAAGUCGGACGGCAUUAGCGGGUUUCUA